rnacentral:rRNA from 1 species
UACGGGGGGGGGCAAGCGUUGUCCGGAAUCAUUGGGCGUAAAGCGCGCGUAGGCGGCCUUGUAAGUCCGUUCUGAAAGCCCGGGGCUCAACCCCGGGAGGCGGAUGGAUACUGCAAGGCUCGAGUACGGAAGAGGCGAGUGGAAUUCCCGGUGUAGCGGUGAAAUGCGCAGAUAUCGGGAGGAACACCAAUGGCGAAGGCAGCUCGCUGGGACGUUACUGACGCUGAGACGCGAAAGCGUGGGGAGCAAACA